UACGGAGGGUGCAAGCGUUAAUCGGAAUUACUGGGCGUAAAGCGUGCGCAGGCGGUUCGUUGUGUCGGUGGUGAAAGCCCCGGGCUUAACCUGGGAAUGGCCAUGGAAACUGGCGAACUGGAGUGUGGCAGAGGGGGGUGGAAUUCCGCGUGUAGCAGUGAAAUGCGUAGAGAUGCGGAGGAACACCGAUGGCGAAGGCAGCCCCCUGGGCUAGCACUGACGCUCAGGCACGAAAGCGUGGGGAGCAAACAGG
rnacentral:rRNA from 1 species